AUGCCCUGACUCUGCUGUUUGCUUGCUUGCCCGCUGCUGUCUACUAGUGGUGGCACUAUGCCGUAGGGGAUGGGUGCACUUAUUACAUCACAAGCCAACCAAUUGUUCGCAGCACCUGCGCCUGCAUUUGUUGCAUGCGUGUGUGCGGGUGGGCGUUGAGAGGAUACCGCUUCUGGUGACUCUGGAUAAUUGUUACAGAUCGCUCUCCGCCUUGAGUCCGCGACGGGUCCUUCAAAUGUCUGCCCUAUCAACUGUCGAUGGUAGGUGACCUGCCUACCAUGGUGAUAACGGGUAACGGGGAAUCAGGGUUCGAUUCCGGAGAGGGAGCCUGAGAAACGGCUACCACUUCCAAGGGAGGCAGCAGGCGCGCAAAUUACCCACUCCCGGCACGGGGAGGUGGUGACGAAAAAUACCGAUGCGGGACUCCUUUAAGAGGCUCCGUAAUCGGAAUGAGUGGACUCUAAAUCCUUUCACGAGGAUCUAUUGGAGGGCAAGUCUGGUGCCAGCAGCCGCGGUAACUCCAGCUCCAAUAGCGUAUAUUAAAGUUGCUGCAGUUAAAAAGCUCGUAGUUGGAUCUCGGUAGCAUUGUUGCCUGUUGGUAAUUGAGCGGUCGGUGUGUGGUCAAUGAUGCACGGUCUGGCUGGCACAUUGUCUGCGUGUGUGUGUGUGUGCGUAGUGGAUGCGGCGACGAGUCGGCCAAAUGGUUGGCAGGUUAGUGGGUUGGUUGGUUGACUGACUGACUGACCGACGGACUUGCUCGCUAGGUGGUUGAUGCGUUGUUGGCUUACCAUUGCUGCUGCUGCACGCCUGCAGUGUGUGUGCUUGCGUGGGUUGUGCUGUCUUGGCCCAGAAAAAACACUGUCCUGUCAAGCCGAAAAAGGCGAUGGUGUCACCUUUUAACCAUGGCUGUGGUGUAACACCCGCAGGUGUGGACGGGGUGUGGGGCGGGGCUCUACACACGUUGUGGGGCCUGUCGGCUCGUCUGCAUGCCUUUGGAUGCCCUUGAAUGAGGUGUCUACCAGCGGAUAGCGCGUUUACUUUGAAAAAUUUUGAGUGCUCAAAUCA
rnacentral:rRNA from 1 species